UACGUAGGGUGCAAGCGUUGUCCGGAAUUAUUGGGCGUAAAGAGCUCGUAGGCGGUUUGUCGCGUCUGCUGUGAAAACUCGGGGCUUAACUCCGGGCCUGCAGUGGGUACGGGCAGACUAGAGUGCGGUAGGGGAGACUGGAAUUCCUGGUGUAGCGGUGAAAUGCGCAGAUAUCAGGAGGAACACCGGUGGCGAAGGCGGGUCUCUGGGCUGACACUGACGCUCAUGCACGAAAGCGUGGGGAGCAAACAGGG
rnacentral:rRNA from 1 species